GACGAACCGUACGAACGUUAUUCGGAAUUACUGGGCUUAAAGGGUGCGUAGGCGGCGCGGAAAGUAGGGUGUGAAAUCCCUCGGCUCAACCGAGGAACUGCGCUCUAAACUACCGUGCUCGAGGGAGAUAGAGGUGAGCGGAACUGAGGGUGGAGCGGUGAAAUGCGUUGAUAUCCUCAGGAACACCGGUGGCGAAAGCGGCUCACUGGAUCUCUUCUGACGCUGAGGCACGAAAGCUAGGGUAGCGAACGGG
rnacentral:rRNA from 2 species